rnacentral:rRNA from 1 species
GAACGAGAAAGGGGAGCAAUCCCUGAGUAAAGUGGCGACCGGGUGAGUAACACGUGACUACCUGCCCUUGAGUGGGGGAUAACUCCGGGAAACCGGGGCUAAUACCGCAUAACAUCGCAAGAUCAAAGGAGCAAUCCGCUUUUGGAGGGGGUCGCGGCUGAUUAGCUAGUUGGCGGGGUAAUGGCCCACCAAGACUGUGAUCGGUAUCCGGCCUGAGAGGGCGCACGGACACACUGGAACUGAAACACGGUCCAGACUCCUACGGGAGGCAGCAGUGGGGAAUUUUGCGCAAUGGGGGAAACCCUGACGCAGCAACGCCGCGUGGAGGAUGAAGUCCUUCGGGACGUAAACUCCUUUCGAUCGGGACGAUUAUGACGGUACCGGAAGAAGAAGCCCCGGCUAACUUCGUG